AUUUGAUGGUGAAAGCAGUUUGCACAUAGCUUCUUAAAUCUAUCCCAGUACUCAUACAAGCUCUCUCCACCAAGUUGCCUAAUCCCAGAAAUGUCUUUUCUUAUAGU